rnacentral:rRNA from 1 species
GUAACAUUGGUGCUUGCACCAGAUGACGAGUGGCGCACGGGUGCGUAACGCGUAUGCAACCUACCUUUUACUAGAGUAUAGCCCAGAGAAAUUUGGAUUAAUCCCCUAUAAUAUCUUUCAAUUUCAUGAUUAAUUGAUUAAAGUUUUAACGGUAAAAGAUGGGCAUGCGUCCUAUUAGUUUGUAGGUGAGGUAACGGCUCACCUAGACUACGAUAGGUAGGGGCCCUGAGAGGGGGAUCCCCCACACUGGUACUGAGACACGGACCAGACUCCUACGGGAGGCAGCAGUAAGGAAUAUUGGACAAUGGACGAAAGUCUGAUCCAGCCAUGCCGCGUGCAGGAUGAAAGCCCUAUGGGUUGUAAACUGCUUUUAUACAGGAAGAAACACUCCGACUUGUCGGAGCUUGACGGUACUGUAAGAAUAAGGAUCGGCUAACUCCGUGCCAGCAGCCGCGGUAAUACGGAGGAUCCAAGCGUUAUCCGGAAUCAUUGGGUUUAAAGGGUCCGCAGGCGGUCUUUUAAGUCAGAGGUGAAAGCCUACAGCUCAACUGUAGAACGGCCUUUGAUACUGAAAGACUUGAGUUAUUGUGAAGUGGUUAGAAUGUGUGGUGUAGCGGUGAAAUGCAUAGAUAUCACACAGAAUACCGAUUGCGAAGGCAGAUCACUAACAAUAUACUGACGCUCAUGGACGAAAGCGUGGGGAGCGAACAGGAUUAGAUACCCUGGUAGUCCACGCCGUANACGAUGGAUACUAGCUGUUCGUCUAACAUUGGUUAGAUGAGUGGCUAAGCGAAAGUGAUAAGUAUCCCACCUGGGGAGU